ACAGCUUCCUCUCUGCUUCUCCUUCUCAAUAUCCUCGCUCAGCACUGCCUGAGAAAGCAGAGAAGGGCGCAGGACCCAGAUUUUGCAGGCAUUCACACUUGCAGGACCGCCCAACACAGUGGCACGAGUUCCAGCCCUGGCAAUCCAGAGACCCGCCACAGGCCUGGAGAACAAGAUCCCAGAAAUUCCCAACUGAGAAUUGUCUUUCUGGGUAAAACUGGAGCAGGAAAUUUGCAACAGAGAACAGCAUCUUUCGAACGAAAGCGUUUCAUUCUGGCAUUGCAGCAAAAUCCAUUACCAAAACCUGUGUGAAAGAUAGUAGAUUGUGGAAUGAAAUAGAACUUGUUGUCAUGGACAUGCCUGCUGUUUCCAACACUGAGGCACAGAUCCGAAAAGAGUAUGAAGAGAAGAUCAGAAACCUGGAACAUCAACUCCUGAAAGAGGAGAAAGGAAGGGAGGAAAAGGAGAGGAGGGGGGAGAAGAAGGAGAGGAGGUGUGAGGAGAA